GACGAACGCUGGCGGCGUGCCUAAUACAUGCAAGUCGAGCGGACCAAACAGGAGCUUGCUCUUGUUCGGUUAGCGGCGGACGGGUGAGUAACACGUGGGUAACCUGCCCGUAAGACCGGGAUAACUCCGGGAAACCGGAGCUAAUACCGGAUAACACCGAAGACCGCAUGGUCUUUGGUUGAAAGGCGGCUUCGGCUGCCACUUACGGAUGGGCCCGCGGCGCAUUAGCUAGUUGGUGAGGUAACGGCUCACCAAGGCGACGAUGCGUAGCCGGCCUGAGAGGGUGACCGGCCACACUGGGACUGAGACACGGCCCAGACUCCUACGGGAGGCAGCAGUAGGGAAUCUUCCGCAAUGGACGAAAGUCUGACGGAGCGACGCCGCGUGAGCGAAGAAGGUCUUCGGAUCGUAAAGCUCUGUUGUUAGGGAAGAAGAAGCGUCGUUCGAACAGGGCGGCGCGGUGACGGUACCUAACGAGAAAGCCCCGGCUAACUACGUG
rnacentral:rRNA from 1 species